CCUACGGGCGGCAGCAGUGAGGAAUAUUGGUCAAUGGCCGGAAGGCUGAACCAGCCAUGCCGCGUGAAGGUCAGUGCCCUAUGGGCGUUAAACUUCUUUUGUGCGGGAGCAAUAAUGGUCACGUGUGGCCAGACGAGAGUACCGUACGAAUAAGCAUCGGCUAACUCCGUGUCAGCAGCCGCGGUAAUACGGGGGAUGCAAGCGUUAUCCGGAUUUAUUGGGUUUAAAGGGUGCGUAGGCUGUGAGGUAAGUCAGCGGUGAAAUGCCCCCGCUCAACGGGGUGAAGUGCCAUUGAUACUGCCUGGCUGGAAUGCGGAUGCCGUGGGAGGAAUGUGUGGUGUAGCGGUGAAAUGCAUAGAUAUCACACAGAACACCGAUUGCGAAGGCAUCUCACGAAUCCGCGAUUGACGCUGAUGCACGAAAGCGUGGGUAUCAAACAGGAUUAGAUACCCCAGUAGUC
rnacentral:rRNA from 1 species